CGAGCGCAACCCUUGUCCUUAGUUACCAGCACGUUAUGGUGGGCGACUCUAAGGAAGACUGCCGGUGACAAACCGGAGGAAGGUGGGGAGUGACGUCAAGUCAUCAUGGCCCUUACGGCCUGGGCUACACACGUGCUACAAUGGUCGGUACAAAGGGUUGCCAAGCCGCGAGGUGGAGCUAAUCCCAUAAAACCGAUCGUAGUCCGGAUCGCAGUCUGCAACUCGACUGCGUGAAGUCGGAAUCGCUAGUAAUCGUGAAUCAGAAUGUCACGGUGAAUACGUUCCCGGGCCUU
rnacentral:rRNA from 1 species